rnacentral:rRNA from 1 species
GAUGAACGCUGGCGGCGUGCUUAACACAUGCAAGUCGAACGGAAAGGCCCAAGCUUGCUUGGGUACUCGAGUGGCGAACGGGUGAGUAACACGUGGGUGAUCUGCCCUGCACUUCGGGAUAAGCCUGGGAAACUGGGUCUAAUACCGGAUAGGACCACAUUUUGGAUGGUGUGGUGGAAAGUUUUUCGGUGUGGGAUGAGCUCGCGGCCUAUCAGCUUGUUGGUGGGGUAAUGGCCUACCAAGGCGUCGACGGGUAGCCGGCCUGAGAGGGUGUACGGCCACAUUGGGACUGAGAUACGGCCCAGACUCCUACGGGAGGCAGCAGUGGGGAAUAUUGCACAAUGGGCGCAAGCCUGAUGCAGCGACGCCGCGUGGGGGAUGACGGCCUUCGGGUUGGAAACUCCUUUCGCUAGGGACGAAGCGUUAUGUGACGGUACCUGGAGAAGAGGCACCGGCUAACUACGUG